GACGAACGCUGGCGGCGUGCUUAACACAUGCAAGUCGAACGGAAAGGCCCUGCUUUUGUGGGGUGCUCGAGUGGCGAACGGGUGAGUAACACGUGAGUAACCUGCCCUUGACUUUGGGAUAACUUCAGGAAACUGGGGCUAAUACCGGAUAGGAGCUCCUGCUGCAUGGUGGGGGUUGGAAAGUUUCGGCGGUUGGGGAUGGACUCGCGGCUUAUCAGCUUGUUGGUGGGGUAGUGGCUUACCAAGGCUUUGACGGGUAGCCGGCCUGAGAGGGUGACCGGCCACAUUGGGACUGAGAUACGGCCCAGACUCCUACGGGAGGCAGCAGUGGGGAGUAUUGCACAGUGGGCGGAAGCCUGAUACAGCAACGCCGCGUGCGGGAUGACGGCCUUCGGGUUGUAAACCGCUUUCGCCUGUGACGAAGCGUGAGUGACGGUAAUGGGUAAAGAAGCACCGGCUAACUACGUG
rnacentral:rRNA from 1 species